rnacentral:rRNA from 1 species
AUUGAACGCUGGCGGCAGGCCUAACACAUGCAAGUCGAACGAGUGGCGGACGGGUGAGUAAUGUCUGGGAAACUGCCUGAUGGAGGGGGAUAACUACUGGAAACGGUAGCUAAUACCGCAUACCAUCAGAUGUGCCCAGAUGGGAUUAGCUUGUUGGUGGGGUAACGGCUCACCAAGGCGACGAUCCCUAGCUGGUCUGAGAGGGUGACCGGCAACACUGGAACUGGGAAACGGUCCAGAGUCCUACUGGAGGAAGAAGUGGGGAAUAGUGCACAAUGGGCGAAAGCCUGAUGCAGCCAUGCCGGGUGUAUGAAGAAGGCUUUCGGGUUGUAAAGUACUUUCAGCGGGGAGGCGUUACCCGCAGAAGAAGCACCGCUAACUCCGUGCCAGCAUCCGCGGUAAUUC